rnacentral:tRNA from 1 species
CCCCACGUAGCUCAACUGGUAGAGCGUUCGGCUGUAGCCCGGAAGGUUGCUGGUUCGAAUCCGGCCGUGGGGA